UGUGGGAUAACUGGAUCAAAUGGUGUUUCCAAGUUUUCUGAGGAAUCUCUAUACUGCUUUCCAGAGUGGUUGCACCAAUUUGCAGUCCCACCAGCAAU
rnacentral:pre_miRNA from 1 species